rnacentral:rRNA from 1 species
UACGUAGGGUGCAAGCGUUGUCCGGAAUUAUUGGGCGUAAAGGGCUCGUAGGCGGUUUGUCGCGUCGGGAGUGAAAUCCACUGGCUUAACUGGUGGCUUGCUUUCGAUACGGGCAGACUGGAGGCAUGCAGGGGAGAACGGAAUUCCUGGUGUAGCGGUGAAAUGCGUAGAUAUCAGGAGGAACACCUGUGGCGAAAGUGGCUCACUGGACCAUAACUGACGCUGAUGCACGAAAGCUAGGGGAGCAAACAGG